AGAAGAUAAACAAAGGUUGCAAUAUUGUAGGUGUAGGAUAGGACAGCUCCCUGUAAACUCCUCCAUGUUCCCCUCUCUCUCUCUUUUCUCUCUCCUUUCUCUUUGUGAUGUUGCUGUUGCAAGCCUGCUUUUGGUGGAGAACCUGAUGCCUGGGAUGAGGAUGAGUUGAGUGGGUGCUGGUUUCUUCUUAUCUUCUAUUUCUUCCAGAGAUCCACAUACAAGAGAAGAGAAGAGAAGAGAAGAGAAGCUGCUUUCCUCCUCCUCGUCUUCUUCUCCUCCUCUUCCUCUUCCUCGCCACUCAUGGCAUAGCAAGCUGCCUCCUUUCCCCUCUCAAACUCGCUCGAUCUGUCUGGUUCUUUAGGAUCCAUGAGAAAGCAUCAAAUCAAUUGUAGAGAGAGGAAAAAGUUGGGGCUUCUUCUUGCCUGAUUGAAGCUUUUUCUUCUUCUUCUUUUUUUAUGCCCUUGGUUAUGCUGGAGGCCAAUCAUCAGAGAAGGCCCUGUAGCAGCAAAGCUCUUGGGCUCGUAGGGUUUGAAGAUUCAGGGAGGGACGCUGAAGAGGGCUUCUGCAGAUGUUAUCAUCCAUCGAAACUCCUCCAGAUCCUUCAUGUUCCUCAGAUCUCGCAGCACUGAAGUCUCAUGAGAAGGCUCCUGAAACGAUUGCCUUCGAAGAGGCAGAAAGAGUAGACCUUGAAGAAAAUCCAACCUCUCAAUUUUCCAUUAGGAAUUAUGUUCUUGCAUCGCGGCGGCGUAGCUGCAUCGAGACUAGUUGGCCUUUUUCGCAGCAGUUCCUCCAAAUUUGCAUGAAGCAUGGUGUCAAGAAUCUACUUCCACCAUUUGAACCUCCUGAUCUGGUGAGAUCCCAGUGCUUGAGAAAGUCAGAACAACUUAUUGUCGAAGCUGAAGCCGAAGCCGAAGUCGAUCCUAUUGAGACUAGAAAUGUUGGUGCCAUCAUCUGGAAGACUUCAGAUAUCAGAUUAGAAUCGCCUUUACUUUUAAAGGAAUUCGAUUCAAACUCUUCUGAUCCAGCUAUAGAGUCGACGUCUGAGGCCGAAAUAUCUCCACUGGAUGAAGGAACAAAUUCAGAUGAACUGAUUCAACAUGACCAUGAUGCUGAACUCAUUUGUUCCAUAGCCGAUAGCACUGAAGCAUCACCGGAUUUUGAUUCUCUUGUGCCUAGACAGAAGUUGGAGAAGCUACAGAAGCCACUUGAAAAGAAGUGCAGAUUGAAAGUCAAGCUGGGUGUUAUCUCCGAGAUCAAUAAGGAAGGCAACACACUAGAUAAUUCCGGUUCCGUUUCGGAUCCUAUGGCUUCGAAGAUUUGUCCAGUUUGUAAAGCAUUUUCAUCCAGUUCGAACACUACUUUGAAUGCGCACAUCGACCAGUGUCUCUCCAUGGACUCAAAUGUGAAGGGCAUUUCAGGCGAGGUCCCAAAGAUUAAAGCUAAACAAAGGAAGAAGAGAUUGAUGACCGAGAUUUACACGACAGCUCCUCGUGCCACUCUUGAAGACCUUGAUAGGAGAAAUGGUACGAAUUGGGCCGUGGAGCUCGCUUUGCUGGCAACACCGACCAGUGGGGUUGCCAAUGAGACCAAGAGACCCAAGAUGUCUGCAACUGAAUGUCUAGAGAAUGGAAAUGACAGUGCUGUUUAUGUUGACUCAAAAGGUAUGAAACUUGGGAUUUUGUCGAAGUUUAAUGAACCAGCACCGGACGACCUUAAUAUGUGGAAGAAUGCAAUUGCAGAACCAGGAAAUUGUAUUUUGCAAAGAAAGAAGAAGGAUUUAGCACUGAAACACUUGAAGGAUACUAAAAUGAAGGCACAAAAAAGGAAACUGUUAUUCAAACAGUCUAAAACUCAGUUUGCAGCCACAUUUGAUGAUGAUGAUCAAUCUGCUGUCCAUCAGCAAGAUCCUGUUCAGCCAUCUGCAUUGCAUACUGAGAAACAAGUUGAGAGCACUGCUCCUGCAACUUCGAAACCUUGGGCGUGCUCUAUACAAUCAGAUAUCCCGAUAAAUGUUCCUAAAAGCAGAAGUGAGAGCAUGGACAACACAACACUAGUACAUAGGAGCAUUUUGGCGGAGAAUCACCAAUGGAAUUCUUCAGCUGUCAGUAGUGAAGCCAAUAAAUUCUUUAGGUCAUCAGAAGUAUUGACUGGUUCUCCGAAAAUGAAGAGAGUUGAUUGCUUGUAUAAUGACAAUCGCCUCACAAAUGAUAUGAAAGGGAAGUCUUCAGAAGUACCUAUUUCCAAUCACAAAUGGUCUUCGAGAGGUGCUUGUUCAACUAUUGGUCUCCUCAAAUCGUCAAAGCCAUCUGAUAAGUUCCUAUCUAGUGGAAAAAAACCAGUGGCGAUUGACCUGGGCAUUUGUAAAAAAUCUAACAAGUGUUUGAAUACGUUACAAUCUCCGUUGGAGGAAGAAGCUAUUUUCACUUCAAAAAAGGAAAUCCUAGUUAAGAGACCGUAUUUCCAUUUGGAAGGAAGUAAAGGUGAGGCAAAUGAGAAGGCACUUAAGACCUUUAAGUUCCGUAAGCACAGAUCGGCUUUGAGAACCUGCAAGAGAGGACCACCAUUUUUACUGCCUAAUGAUGGAGUGCAUGGAACUACCAACAAUUUGAUUGUGAGAAGAAAUAGGGCAGUACACAAUCAUGAAUUUGGUUCGCUGAAUAAUUUUACUAGUUCUGAAUCAAAAAUCAUGAACCAUGAGUUUCCAAUCCGAGGCAAUAACACAGAGUCUGAGAGACCAGGAUUAUCAAAGACAGUUGAAGAGCGAGAACAAAAUAAUUUGAUACACCCUGCAAUACCUUGGUGCAACAAUACUGAAGUUGAAGACUCAGAUGCUCUAGUAGAAGAUCAGAGUCACGGAGCACCAGGAGAAGCUGGUGGUGAUCAUGUUUCCAAUGAUUUUGUCAACUCAGAUAAACUGGAAAUUAGUUUCAGAAACAAAUCAUGUUCUUCUCAGCAUGCAGUUGGCAAAGUCCAUGUAGAUAACUUUGAGAAAAGAUCUGGCCAGCAAGAAUUCAUUUGCAAUGAUGUAUCCUGUGAAGAUGUUGAAUAUGAAGAUAUUCAAAUGGAAGUUGCCACUGUAGACAAAGAUGUAGAAGUCUCUUGUGCAGUUCUACUAAAAAAUUAUCAAGCUGAAACCACAUCUGCUCAAGAUUCUAUCGGUUGUCUAACUAGUCACGGGGGUAUGGAACUCAAGGUGCCCUCUAAGAGCCCAUCAAUGACUUCAUUAAUAUCAUCCGAAAAUCACCAUAGGCAUUUGCACCUGGACACUGGCCAAUCUGGAUCACCAACUUCUGCAGGAUCUUAUGUCUCCUUAAUGCCUUAUGAAGGCUCCAGAUUGAAAGAUCCAGAACCUGAACUCUCAAUGAGGAGUUUUGAAUCUCAUACUGCUGGACUCACUGAGAAUACUGAACAAAGAAAUUUCAAUAGUAGAGAACACAGGAAGGACGAUCUAGCAGAAACAACACCUAAGAAAUGCUUGAAUGAGAAGCCAUUUUGCUGUUCAUGCAGGGAGAGCAUUUCGAAAGAUUUACAGUUACCAAGCCAUAAUGAAACUUCCAGGACAACUAAGGAAAAUCGAGUUUCAAACUUGUUUAUUGGGCCAAGAAUAUCUUCCUCCUUUAAAACAUAUCAGAGUCCCAGGAGUAAUAGUAUAUCCAAAUCAUCACAGCAGUCCAAUUACAACAAUUCGAUUGAUUUUUCUGGAAGUUAUGGAUCAUUCACUGAUUUAGGUUCUCCAUCACCUCAGUCACUGAACCAAUCCAGUUCUAACCCGGUACUUCGAUUGAUGGGUAAAAACCUAACAGUUGUAAACAACGAACCACUUAUGUAUCCUCAAACUAUUGCUCCAGACCAUACACCGUAUGUGAAUUCUGUUUCUACUGGAUUUGCUUCCAUCAACCACCUCAUGCAACAAGAUGGUUCAUAUCACUGCCAUCAACCUAUGGUUGGCUCGCAAGCCAUUCAUCAUGCUUUAUUAACCGGCGACCCUGCUGUGUUUCCACAUUUACCUACCAUUGCAAUGGGCAACACUGCCAGGGCUCCUCUUCAUCCUGCUUGGACCAUAAAACCAGAUCAACACAUGCAGCAGACACCAUUCCAAAGGCAUGGCUCUUGCUCUCCUUAUGCGAUGAAUGAGGUGAUUGUCAUUGAUGACCGAUGUUCACAGCAUGAGAAUGAACUCAAAGGCUCCCUAAAGAAUACCACAAACACUUCAUUGCUUAGUGCGUAUGGGCCGAGUGCUUUAGCUCCAAGACCCUUUGCUUGCUUUCCAUUGGAAAGCCAGAAUAGGAAUGUCUCAGGCAGACCUUCAGCUUUAUUUGCUAAUUUUCAACCAGUGACAAAUGCUAGUUUUAUGAAUCAAAGGUUCAGCACACAAAGCCAAGGUGCUCUUAUUCCAUAUCCAAAUUUCCAGGCACCUGCAUCAAGUCGGAUGGGCCCAUCGUUCUAUUAUCCUGCAAUUCUGCGGUGAUCUUGAUAGUGCAAAGAGGCAGAUAACAGAAACCUGUCAUCAAGGAUCAGGUAUUCGCUCUUAUUCAUUACCAGAUCACAAUACUGACAGUUGACACUGGAAGUUGCACAGAUGACUGCCUAGCAUCCAAGAAUAAGAACCCCGUUCAAUAUGCUGGUUUUCUUAACAAUACUGGAGUAGCUAUUGUAUUAAAAGGGAUGUUUCCGACAAAGAUCUUAAUUUUCGAGUUUUGGUAGGCAUAGCAUGAUGCUCUGAAAGUAUCCUUUCCGAGUUCGUCAUUGGUUGAAUUCGAUGAAUUUGAAUUAAAUUCAUCAAUCUCGAAGUACAUGUGUUGCACAUCCAAGUGCACUUGUUUGAUGGUAAAGCUCCUUUACUGCGUCCUUAAAAGAGAACAGCUUCCCUGUUUCUUGCUGACUCUUUAAAGUCACUGCUCCAAAAAAGGAUUGAUAAUUUAGAAAGGCAACAGGAAUCUCUUUGGUCGAGGGCAAAUGAGAGUUUUGAAGUUAAACUGCAAAAUCAAACCCAGAACUCAAUCCUCAACUAAUCCAUUCUUUGGAUAAUUAAAAGAGCCAUUGUCUUUGUCUCCAUGUGUGGACCACAAGGGUUUUGAAUUCUCUUAAGAUUUAAGAAUGAGAUCCUUUCCGAGUGGGGAUCGCAAUGGACUACUUUAGUUCCUUUCGCGCUGAAUCUCUCUCAAACAUUACUUGGAAGAUGAGGGAGGAGUGCAUUCAUGAAUCCUUUUAGCAGAAAGGAAAUGGGGUGUGCUGCUUCUAAGAUUUUAGCUAGAUCAUGGCACUUUCAAGAGGAUGUUGAGAGAAGAUUAAAAAGGAGACCUGCAAAGGGAUUGGAAGAAUUGGUCAGCUACAAAAAUGGAGCGGAGCAUGAGAAGAACUCAACCAUGCCCGUGGAGAGCAAUGCGGUUGUCCAUGUCGAAACCAUCAAUACUUGGGAUCUGUUGGCUGGCCUAGCAGAAGACGACGACGAAGAAGAAGACAACGACAAGACGAUUGAGAAAGAAGUCACAACAAACAUUGAUUCAAAGAGAAAAGCUAUGGCCAAGGAGCUCUCAGUGCUUGAGGUUCCUCCUUUUGAGUUCGCGGAGAAGGGAAGUCAGAAGGAAUGGCCGCAACGAGACGGCCAAGAGCCUUAUGUCACCCCUAAAUUCGGAAAAUUUUCAAAGCAGGGAGACAAAAGGGAGGAUGAAGGAGUCGUGUUUGAUCCUGAAUUGGUUGCGCAGUUUGAGCGGGCUAUGAACGAGCUUGCAACUGAUGAAGAGCUUGUUCUUCGACAGAUCACAAAUGGCUUGGAGUGAAACCAAAUGCUAAGAAGAUUUUGUCAUUAAGAUCAAACUUCAGUUAACUAGCUACAAACUGUUGUUUUAAAUUAAUUUGAUCAACUAAAACUUAAGUAAUUAUAAUUAUUAGUAACAUAAUAAAUUACAGGUUAUUAAGUUA